ensembl:lncRNA
CCAAACCUGGACAACACGAUGCCGAUAGUGCGCCGCACAUAUGGGAUUCACAAUCACAGCCAGUUGUGAUACAGCCGGGAAUCGAACCAGGUGUGUCUGUAGUGAUGCCUCUUGCACUGAGAUGCAGUGCCUUAUACUGCUGCGCUACUCGGGAGCAGAAUGUACAUUCAGAAGUAAUGACUGGAACUUAAGUGGUAUUGUGUUUCAUUUCCAGUCACUUCAUGUCUGAUGGAGCCGUGAACAAUAUAUAAUGUAACUCUUACCAAACCCUUUCCAUGAUUUUGAAGAUAGCUUCUUCCUCUGGGCCAUUUUGUGAAUCAUCUAUUUUAAUGUUCUCUACCAAAUCCCCCAUGGCUAAUAUGAAUCUUUACUAAACACUCUCUGAUACUGUCAGGUUGUGCGGUACUGGUGUAGGAGUCAGGUGCAGGAGAGCAGAGAGUUGUGAUCUACUGGUGUAGGAGUCAGGUGCAGGAGAGCAGAGAGUUGUGAUCUACUGGUGUAGGAGUCAGGUGCAGGAGAGCAGAGAGUUGUGAUCUACUGGUGUAGGAGUCCGUUGCAGGAGAGCAGAGAGUUGUGAUCUACUGGUGUAGGAGUCCGGUGCAGGAGAGCAGAGAGUUGUGAUCAGACGCACACCUUAUUUGGCAGAAGCAAACAACAGACGGACGCAACAAUGUCCUAC